CAGCAGCCUCUCAUGAACUAAACUUAGCCCGGAAAAGCAAGAAGUGAAGCCCACACUUAGCCUUUCAAGUGGCAAAGUGGUUGGAGGUGGAACAAUGUUGACAUGACUCAGGAGACGCAGACAGGAUCACGGGAAGAAGCAAGUGUAGCUUUCAGGUAUCUCUUUGUCAGGGACACACACACACACAGAUGUGAGUGAUCUGAGGCAGCUGUGUAACACCAUCACCUUAAUGGUGCAACCAGGACAGUCCCUUCUGAUAAAGGAGUA
rnacentral:lncRNA from 12 species